AUUGAACGCUGGCGGCAGGCCUAACACAUGCAAGUCGAACGAGUGGCGGACGGGUGAGUAAUGUCCGGGAAACUGCCUGAUGGAGGGGGAUAACUACUGGAAACGGUAGCUAAUACCGCAUACCAUCGGAUGUGCCCCGAUGGGAUUAGCCAGUAGGGGGGGUAACGGCUCACGUAGGCGACGAUCCCUAGCUGGUCUGAGAGGAUGACCAGGCACACUGGAACGGAGACACGGUCCAGACUCCUACGGGAGGCAGCAGUUGGGAAUAUUGCACAAGGGGCGCAAGCCUGAUGCAGCCAUGCCGCGUGUGUGAAGAAGGCCUUCGGGUUGUAAAGCACUUUCAGCGGGGAGGCGUUACCCGCAGAAGAAGCACCGGCUAACGCCGUGCCAGCAGCCGCGGUAAUUC
rnacentral:rRNA from 1 species